GAACAGCAACAUAAACAGAGCGUGACUCAGGAAUCUGAAGAGAGGAGUCAGAUGAAGGACACGGAGUGUAAUCAAAGUCUAAAGGAGACAUGAUAGUCAAAGAAGAAAGACCUUCCAACCAGUACUGUAGGGCAGCGACAGGGAGGACUGUGGAGUUUGCAAAGAAAAAGAACAGUGAAAAGGGGCUGCGUUGCCCAUACAAGUCGGGGCUUUGGAUAGCUCAUGACACAAAGACUCAAAAUAUGCAAUAUAGCAUCAUCAAAGGAGCAAAGGAUAGACUUCCGAUUUGAGACGGUGGAAUGAAAAGUCUGUUCCAGUUACUCAGCCCAGCCGACAACCUGCCCAGUAGAAGACCAUGGUUGGAUGCAUGUAGAAUUCUACAAGGUUGUUG
rnacentral:lncRNA from 1 species